AUAACAUCAUAACAUCAUGGCAUUGUACUAACCAUUUCAAGGAUUUAGGGAUUUAACUCUGCUAAAAAAAAAAACAGAAAAAAACAAAAACAAAGCAAAAACAAAAGAGAAAAGAAAAAAAAAAGCUCUUUUUGUUAGUUUAUGCAAAGUUAAAUCCCGAAAGUCCUUGAAAACAUUUCAUACAUUGCAUUGCAUCGCAUAACAGGUAUUCUAAAGGAUCA
rnacentral:lncRNA from 1 species